GUUCUCACUUUGGCAGCAUAUAUAUUAAAAUCGGAGUGACAGAGAAGAUUUAGCAUGGCCCCUACACAAGGAUGACAUGCAAAUUCAUGAAGCAUUCCAUAUUUUU
ensembl:snRNA U6 U6 spliceosomal RNA